CCUUAUGUAUGUCAGGAAGGAAAAUAAAUAGUCCCCUGUUUUUGCUUUAUGUGGGGAAAUUAUUGAGAUAAACAGCUUGGGCCUGGCAGGUGUGACUUCUUGCAGCUUAACGUGAUGGAUUCGCUAAUGGCAGCUGAGCUGAUAGCACCAAACUGUGGAUGGAUGAGAACCAUGGUCAAGAUUCUGACAGUUAUGUACAUGCCAGGGCCUGGCAGGGUCUGACUUUUGACCGUGAGGCACUCAGGCUUCCAGCAUUGGGGAGCAUGGAAGGAAUCUGGAAUUCAGAGCGAGUGUGCAAGUGAGAGAAUAAGGAAAACGGCCCACACAAGCAUAACUGGAAUGUGACUCUCAGCAAGAACAGCCCUGUAAAGUGAUGGUGCAUGAGCCCUGUCAUGCAUGUCAGAAGAGGACUUCUGGAGAGACUGGCCAGACCUGGAAUCUCCCUUCUCUCCAUCUACCCUAGUUCCGCCUCAGAUUCCUCAUUUGUCAAGCAGAAUUGUUGUCACUUGCCUGUAAUCAUGGAGAUAACAAGUGGAAGAAAACUGAACUUAAACCCAGAUGGACCAACUUGGAAUUCAACUAAUCCAACCUCCAGUGAAUGGUUCUGCCAUUUUGGUAUCCACUAAACAUUGAUCACUUCUCAGGCUGAUAUUAUGUGUUCUUCGUUCCUGACUAUUACCAGUAACUUAAUUUCACUAUAUGCCUGGUUACACAUGUAUAUAAUUUUCUAUUUAAAUAUCUAUAUAUAUGUAUAUGUAUUUAUGUAUUGAGUAUAUCCCAUGUUUUCAUGUCUAUGCCUAUACCUUCCAUUAUUAACUAGAUGCUGACAACUCCCAAAUUUAUAUCUCUGUCCCAGAUAUUGCUGCUAAAUUCCAGACCCAUAUAUCCAGCAGCCCACUCACAUCUCCACUUGCAUGUCUCACAGACACAUAAACUCAGUAAGUCCAAAACUAAACUUAUGAUCUUUCUUCCAGACCCUGCUUAUCCUCUCAUGCUCCUUAUCUUAGUAAAUGGCAGCUGCCAUCAAACCAGGUGUUCAAGCCAAAAUACCUGAAAGCCAUCCUGGACACCACCUCUCUCACUACCUACCACAUCCAUUUAUCCCAAGCCCUGAAAACUUUAGCUCUUCAGGUUGUUUAUUAAUUAAUCUAUUCAUUUAUAUAAUAAUCACUUAUUCUGCAGCACUAUAUGAAAAAUGGGUGAUAACAUGGUAAACAAGAGAGAUACAUUCUUUACCUCUUAGAACUAUUAGUCAUAAACCACAACAGCACAUUUUAUUGAAUGAAUGAAUGAAGUGCGUACAUGAAGAUAGUUUUAUACAAAUAGAGACUUGAAAUAAUCUUACUAAUGUGCAAUUGCAUAUUUUGUACUAGAUCUUAUCAAGAGUCAUUUAUAGAGGGCUGUUUAUCAGGUAGUAAGAGAAAAUAUUCAUACUGUCUGCUCCUUUGAUAUAGAAUUUAAUAGUUUCUUAUGGUUUUAUAUUAUUAUAUUUGAUUUUCACAAAAACCUUGAGAGAGGUAUGCAGGAUAGUUACUUUAAUUCCUAUUUCAUAGAAGAAGAAACAGAGGGUCAGAGAAGUUGAUUCCAAGUCAGUACUUUUUCUGCUAUACCCAAGCACAGGGCUUUUCAAUUAUGCCUUUUUCUUAUUGGUCCAAAAGUUGUGACACUACACUAAAGCACCCUAGUUUUAUUUUCUAUAUAUUAAUUUUUCAAACAUCUUCCUACUCUUAGAGGGACUCCCUACUAAGCGAUCCUUCAAGAAAGGUCAAAGAGAACUCCCUGCUCUCUGACACCUGGAACCAGGCACAUGACCUAACAUCAGUCAAUAGGAAUUUUCCUCCCAGGAACACUGACCUAGGAUCAGCCAGUGGGUUGUUCCAACUCAGGCCUGUGGCUAUUGAGUAAGCAAUUCAAAGACACAGAGGAGUUGAAAGUUUUUACCCAGAGGCAUCAAGGUUCAGUGCUGUAAGCCUCGGGGUCCAGUGGGGGCAGCAGUGGUCAUGUAGUGGCAGCGUGCUAACAAGGAACUUCAGGUUUGGCCUUACCUUGCUGGAAUACAUGUAUUUCCUAAGCUUGUUUCUUUAGUCUUCCAUUGAUGUUUGGAAGCUACUCAAUGUCUUUUCAAUACAUGCACUUUCUGUUAAAAUCUGUUUCAUGCAUCCGAUAACUCUGAGUGAUACUCCUAGAGAAACCUUUAUAUGGAGAAUUUAGAUGUUCUCUGUAACAUACUUGCCUCAGAGCAGGAUUUAUGGGUAGGUUGGUCUGGCUUGGGCCCUAUCCAAGUUCCAAAAUCUGAGGAUGAAAGAGCUUUGAGUCACCUACAGAGUAGGCCCAUAAUAAAGACCACAAAAACCAAGGGCCAGCCAGUCUCUUAUGUCCUCUGGACUCCUAUCCAUGCUAUAAAUCCGAUGGCUGCAUAAGCAACCUCAAUAUUUAAACAAUUCAUUACUAACCAGUCUAGUAAGUAACUGACUGAAAGGAUAUUGUGAGAGGAUAUUUACAAAAUGGCCUUAAUGAGAAGCUACCACUAAGAAGGAUAUAGACAUAAACUUAGAGCAAAAGAAAGGCUGAUUUAUUAGAAAGACUAGUGAAGACUAUUUAAUAGGAACUUACUUAUGCAGAGCAAAUGUUGCAUGCUUUCUGGAAUUUCAGAGUCUUCAAAUAAGUCUUGUUGUUAAUCAAGAGGAAAAGACCCAUAAAACUGAAAUUAGCCUACAAUGGAAUCUUCCCAAUAUAUUAAAACCUAUCAACCAUGUGGCUUACAGAUCCAGUUCAAGCACUGAAUCACUAACCUUUCAAAAACAGUUCUAAUAAGAUCACUAUUAUCAUCUCUUCAUUGUUUAUUUUGCAGAAAAGGAAGUUGAAAGUCAAAAAGGUUAAGUGAUUGGCCCAGGGUUACCCAGGUAUUAAGUGGCAGAGCUGGGAGUAGAGCCCAGGUUUGCCUGGAUCCAAAAGCCACAUACCAUUCUCUCCACUAAACCAUGGCGUUGUUUUCCUUCCCAAGGCAAUUGUCAAGAUUGUUUGCCAAAAAGUGCUAACUAACAACUAGUGUCUUUGACAGUGGAAUGAACAGGAAGUCUCUCAGUGGCCCGAUGACAUGUGGGAGUGGCUGCCAUGAGAUAAUGGGUUUGUAGGGAUGGGUCUGGCUGUCAGAGAGAUGGGGUGAUUUCUGACUUGGUUGUUUUUCUCAGGAAGUCCUUAUUAAUUCAGGAAGGGUGAGGGGGAAAAAAGGGGGGGAGGUUAGGAGUAGGGGAAGAAAAAGAGGCAGAGGAAAAAAAGAAAGAAAAAUAGAAACAGAAAGAGAUUGAGAUAUUGAGAAAGAGAGAGACUUUAUUUUCAUUUGUAUCCUCACUGCUGAAUGGAGUUCACUGGCCCCAGUCUAAACCAGCAGGUCCUCUCCAGAAGCAGCCCAGCUUCCUCAGCCCACCUCAGAAGCUUUUCGUCAGGGCCCUGUCCUGACAGAUUCCCUUCAUCACUCUUGUCUCUUGGCUGGACAAGAACCUCUUUGGAGCGACAGGAUGUAAUGCAGCUACAUCUAAUGGGAUAAGAAAUAGGAAAUGGAAUAACAUUUUAGCCUUGAUCAGAAUGUUCUUAGAGAUAAUUUAAAU